CACGUAGGGGGCGAGCGUUGUCCGGAUUUAUUGGGCGUAAAGAGCUCGUAGGCGGCUCAGUAAGUCAGGUGUGAAAACUCCGGGCUCAACCUGGAGACGCCACUUGAUACUGCUGUGGCUAGAGUCCGGUAGGGGAGCAUGGAAUUCCUGGUGUAGCGGUGAAAUGCGCAGAUAUCAGGAGGAACACCAGUGGCGAAGGCGGUGCUCUGGGCCGGAACUGACGCUGAGGAGCGAAAGCGUGGGGAGCAAACAGG
rnacentral:rRNA from 1 species